GAUUGCACGCUCCUUUUGUAAAAUGCCAUGCUCGGUAGGUUUUCUAGCUAUUUUGUUUUUUUGUUGUUUUUUUUAUUGUCAAAAGUGUUUUUUUUAUUUUUUUUUCUGUAUACCAGUCAUCUUCAUAGAUUCCUUGACCAAAAUGGAGUUUAAGGUUAGUAGCCGACUCUGGAAGGCUUCCGGUUCCGGAGCCCAGUGUGGGAGAUUCCAAGUAUGUGGUUUAGCGACUAACUAGGGUGAGUUAACUCAGUAAGAGCCCUGUGGCUUUGUUUUGCUAGGGGAAGGAACCCAUUAGGAGGCUUACCACUUACUCUGAGUGAACUUAUCCGGGUUAGUCAAUAAACCACAUUCUUGGAGUCCCCCUCUGAUCAGGGCCAGAGCUGUGGUCGGUGUCCUAUCGUUACCCAUAGUUACCUGGAGCUGUUUUCACACGGAGUAGGUAGUGCUCUCCUCUUCUUCCUUUUGUUUUCGUGUUGCAAUGCAAUCUAUUUUCCUCACGGCAAUAACGUUAGGCAGUGUUUUCGCUGUUUGAUUUCUUCUGUUUCCUGUAGUGUGGCAGAGAGCUUGACCUGCUGUCUACUUAGAUCCCCUGUGAUACCAUCAACCUGUCUGGUGUCAGUGAGAGUUGGGGCAAAAAUGGCCCCUAUUUUUAAAGUAGUUGGGGGGGGGGGGGGGGGUAGCCCUUGUAACGACCCCCUUUCUUACUAAGCGACAUGUCCUCUAUUGUUCAGUAUUCUCUCUGGCCAAUCUGGACUAAUUAGGUUCGAGUAACUUACGGCUUGUGGUGUAGUGUCCUUACAGACGUUUAGGAACAACCCAAUGCCCCUGAAAAUCAGACACCAAGGUGAUCAAUUACUCCCUGAUAGAAAAGUACAUUUUCUUUACCUCCUUCUUGACCAUCCUACCGGGAUAGUUCUGUGUAUGUAUGGUAAGACCAGAUGCUAUUUCACUGAUUUAACAUGCCUGACUUUAAGAGCCGUGUUAAUGGAUCUUGCAUCACAUACACAACCUACUUACGGCAAAUGUAGAUUUCCGUGAUUGUGUUUUUUUGUAUGAUUAUUAUUAUUGCAAGGGGUUAUGAAUGAAAAAUAAUGUUUUUUUGUUUUGUUUUUCUUAAGUAAUAAGUCAGGACAUGUUUGUGCUUCUGAAUGUCAUGUGUUUAUAACACUUUUCAUAAAGGUGCUCUAGUCUAAAUUAUCCCACGAGGAGACCUUUUUCACUUGUCUAUUCCGUUUUUGUGUGUUUGUAUGGAGACGUUAUUCAGAACCUCCUUCUCAAGCUUUGAUUAGCAGAGGAGACAUGGCAAGGUUUUGUAAAGACAAAAAAAUAAAGAC
ensembl:lncRNA